UGCGAAGGGGGCUAGCGUUGUUCGGAUUUACUGGGCGUAAAGCGCACGUAGGCGGAUCGUUAAGUCGGGGGUGAAAUCCUGGAGCUCAACUCCAGAACUGCCUUCGAUACUGGCGAUCUUGAGUCCGGAAGAGGUGAGUGGAACUCCUAGUGUAGAGGUGGAAUUCGUAGAUAUUAGGAAGAACACCAGUGGCGAAGGCGGCUCACUGGUCCGGUACUGACGCUGAGGCGCGAAAGCGUGGGGAGCAAACAGG
rnacentral:rRNA from 1 species